rnacentral:rRNA from 1 species
CCUACGGGAGGCAGCAGUGAGGAAUAUUGGUCAAUGGACGAGAGUCUGAACCAGCCAAGUAGCGUGAAGGAUGACGGCCCUAUGGGUUGUAAACUUCUUUUAUAGGGGAAUAAAAUGUGCCACGUGUGGGAUGUUGUAUGUACCAUAUGAAUAAGGAGCGGCUAACUCCGUGCCAGCAGCCGCGGUAAUACGGAGGAUCCGAGCGUUAUCCGGAGUUAUUGGGUUUAAAGGGAGCGUAGGUGGAUUGUUAAGUCAGUUGUGAUAGUUUGCGGCUCAACCGUAAAAUUGCAGUUGAAACUGGCAGUCUUUAUUACAGUCGAGGUGGGCGGCAUUCGUGGUGUAGCGGU